GAUGAACGCUGGCGGCGUGCCUAAUACAUGCAAGUCGAGCGAACAGACGAGGAGCUUGCUCCUCUGACGUUAGCGGCGGACGGGUGAGUAACACGUGGAUAACCUACCUAUAAGACUGGGAUAACUUCGGGAAACCGGAGCUAAUACCGGAUAAUAUAUUGAACCGCAUGGUUCAAUAGUGAAAGACGGUUUUGCUGUCACUUAUAGAUGGAUCCGCGCCGCAUUAGCUAGUUGGUAAGGUAACGGCUUACCAAGGCAACGAUGCGUAGCCGACCUGAGAGGGUGAUCGGCCACACGAGAACUGAGACACGGUCCAGACUCCUACGGGAGGCAGCAGUAGGGAAUCUUCCGCAAUGGGCGAAAGCCUGACGGAGCAACGCCGCGUGAGUGAUGAAGGUCUUCGGAUCGUAAAACUCUGUUAUUAGGGAAGAACAAAUGUGUAAGUAACUAUGCACGUCUUGACGGUACCUAAUCAGAAAGCCACGGCUAACUACGUG
rnacentral:rRNA from 1 species